rnacentral:tmRNA from 1 species
GGGGUCGUCUUGGUUUCGACAGGGACGUACCGGGCUUUAACUGCAGCGGUUGGUAACCAUAAACCAAAACAAAAAUAACUGAUAACAGUUAUAUGAGAGCUCCUAGAGCUCAAUCUCUCUGCUUAGCUUAGUCUACCCGACGUUAGGGACCGGUCAAAGGAUCGGACAGAGCAUCUCUCAAGGUUCUAUUCUUUCCACGCUUGAGUAAGGUGUCAUACCAGAAAGAUAGUCGUGUGCAGGAGGCAUGCUAGUAUACGAUGAAAUAUAGUUUGUCUCGGAUAGCAAGUGAGUCAAUAUACUAAAGCUAUCUUAAAUUCAAAUAUUGUCUAAGCUGUAGACGUUAUUGAAAGGCCUUCUCUGGACAGGAGUUCAAUUCUCCUCGGCUCCACCA